rnacentral:rRNA from 1 species
AGUGAACGCUGGCGGCAGGCCUAACACAUGCAAGUCGAACGGCAGCACAGUGGAGCUUGCUCCAUGGUGGCGAGUGGCGGACGGGGUGAGGAAUACAUCGGAAUCUGCCCAGUCGUGGGGGAUAACAUAGGGAAACUUAUGCUAAUACCGCAUACGACCUACGGGUGAAAGCGGGGGAUCGCAAGACCUCGCGCGAUUGGAUGAGCCGAUGUCCGAUUAGCUAGUUGGCGGGGUAAUGGCCCACCAAGGCGACGAUCGGUAGCUGGUCUGAGAGGAUGAUCAGCCACACUGGAACUGAGACACGGUCCAGACUCCUACGGGAGGCAGCAGUGGGGAAUAUUGGACAAUGGGCGCAAGCCUGAUCCAGCCAUGCCGCGUGGGUGAAGAAGGCCUUCGGGUUGUAAAGGCCC